rnacentral:rRNA from 1 species
ACCAGACUCCUACGGGAGGCAGCAGUGGGGAAUAUUGCACAAUGGGCGAAAGCCUGAUGCAGCAACGCCGCGUGAAGGAAGAAGGGUUUCGGCUCGUAAACUUCUCUCAACAGGGACGAAAGAAAUGACGGUACCUGAAUAAGAAGCCCCGGCUAACUACGUGCCAGCAGCCGCGGUAAUACGUGGGGGGCAAGCGUUAUCCGGAUUUAUUGGGUUUAAAGGGGGCGUAGGCGGAAUGCCAAGUCAGCGGUAAAAUCGGGGGGCUCAACCUCGCUCCGCCGUUGAAACUGAUGAUCUUGAGUGGGCGAGAAGUAUGCGGAAUGCGUGGUGUAGCGGUGAAAUGCAUAGAUAUCACGCAGAACUCCGAUUGCGAAGGCAGCAUACCGGCGCGCAACUGACGCUCAUGCACGAAAGCGUGGGUAUCGAACAGGAUUAGAUACCCGAGUA